UGGGGAAUAUUGGACAAUGGGGGCAACCCUGAUCCAGCCAUGCCGCGUGUGUGAAGAAGGCCUUCGGGUUGUAAAGCACUUUAAGGGGGGAGGAAGGUCCCAAAGCGAAUAACUUUGGGAAUUGACGUUACCCCCAGAAUAAGCACCGGCUAACUUCGUGCCAGCAGCCGCGGUAAUACGAGGGGUGCAAGCGUUAAUCGGAAUUACUGGGCGUAAAGCGCGCGUAGGCGGCUAGGUAAGUCGGUUGUGAAAUCCCCGGGCUCAACCUGGGAAUUGCAGCCGAGACUGCCUGGCUAGAGUGUGGGAGAGGGUGGUGGAAUUCCCGGUGUAGCGGUGAAAUGCGUAGAUAUCGGGAGGAACAUCAGUGGCGAAGGCGACCACCUGGCCCAACACUGACGCUGAGGUGCGAAAGCGUGGGUAGCAAACAGGAUUAGAUACCCCCGUAGUCC
rnacentral:rRNA from 1 species